UACGUAGGGUGCGAGCGUUGUCCGGAAUUAUUGGGCGUAAAGAGCUUGUAGGUGGCUCGUCGCGUCGGGAGUGAAAACCCGCGGCUUAACCGCGGGCCUGCUUUCGAUACGGGCGGGCUAGAGUUCGGCAGGGGAGACUGGAAUUCCUGGUGUAGCGGUGGAAUGCGCAGAUAUCAGGAGGAACACCGGUGGCGAAGGCGGGUCUCUGGACCGAUACUGACGCUGAGGCGCGAAAGCGUGGGGAGCAAACAGG
rnacentral:rRNA from 1 species